AAUGGCGUGCGGUCCGCACGCGGACGUGUCCGGGCUCCGGCUUCGGGGAUGCUCGUGUGCGGUUCCUCGCUCUAUACCCUUGCCUAUUUGUACCCUCUUGUUGUUUCCUCGGCGGGUUCCGACUCGCCGGUGGGAAUUUGAUAAACCUCUUGCAGUAGUAUCCAAUCAUUCUGAUCAAAAGUCUUAAAUCGUUA
rnacentral:misc_RNA from 1 species